rfam:Hordeum vulgare subsp. vulgare, WGS project CAJW01000000 data, contig: morex_contig_1565883
AACAUACUCCCUCCGUCUUAAAAUUUUUGUCUUUGUUUUGUUUAGAUAUGAAUGUAUCUAGUCAUGGUUAGCAUUUAGAUACAUCCAUUUCUAAACAAACGCUAAGACAAGAAUUUUAGAACGGAGGGAGUAAAAA